UGGGGAAUAUUGCGCAAUGGGGGAAACCCUGACGCAGCAACGCCGCGUGAUUGAAGAAGGCCUUCGGGUUGUAAAGAUCUUUAAUUCGGGACGAAAAAAAUGACGGUACCGAAAGAAUAAGCUCCGGCUAACUACGUGCCAGCAGCCGCGGUAAUACGUAGGGAGCAAGCGUUAUCCGGAUUUACUGGGUGUAAAGGGCGCGCAGGCGGGCUUGCAAGUUGGGAGUGAAAUCCCGGGGCUCAACCCCGGAACUGCUUUCAAAACUGUGAGUCUUGAGUGAUGGAGAGGCAGGCGGAAUUCCCAGUGUAGCGGUGAAAUGCGUAGAUAUUGGGAGGAACACCAGUGGCGAAGGCGGCCUGCUGGACAUUAACUGACGCUGAGGCGCGAAAGCGUGGGGAGCAAACAGG
rnacentral:rRNA from 1 species